ACGCUCGACACCUACGGGGGGCAGCAGUGGGGAAUAUUGCACAAUGGGGGAAACCCUGAUGCAGCGACGCCGCGUGGAGGAAGAAGGUCUUCGGAUUGUAAACUCCUGUUGUUGGGGAAAAAAGAGGAUGGUACCCAACAAGGAAGUGACGGCUAACUACGUGCCAGCAGCCGCGGUAAUCUGAGCGGGCUGGCAAGGC
rnacentral:rRNA from 1 species